GUGGGGAAUAUUGGACAAUGGGCGAAAGCCUGAUCCAGCCAUGCCGCGUGUGUGAAGAAGGUCUUCGGAUUGUAAAGCACUUUAAGUUGGGAGGAAGGGCAGUAAGUUAAUACCUUGCUGUUUUGACGUUACCGACAGAAUAAGCACCGGCUAACUUCGUGCCAGCAGCCGCGGUAAUACGAAGGGUGCAAGCGUUAAUCGGAAUUACUGGGCGUAAAGCGCGCGUAGGUGGUUUUGUAAGUUGGAGGUGAAAUCCCCGGGCUCAAACUGGGAACUGCAUCCAAAACUGCAUGACUAGAGUACGGUAGAGGGUAGUGGAAUUUCCUGUGUAGCGGUGAAAUGCGUAGAUAUAGGAAGGAACACCAGUGGCGAAGGCGACUACCUGGACUGAUACUGACACUGAGGUGCGAAAGCGUGGGGAGCAAACAGGAUUAGAUACCCGUGUAGUCC
rnacentral:rRNA from 1 species